UAUAAAUUAUUAUAUAUAAUGAUUAUAAUUCUUAACUAAUUUUAAAUUUUUAUAUAAAAUAUUUAUCAAAAAACUGAAAAGGAUAUCUUAAUUUUUUUUAAAAAGUAAAUUUUUGUACCUUUAGCAUAAGGGAUUUUUUAAAUUAAAUAAAAAUUUAUUUUUUUCGAAGCCAACAGAUCUAUUUCAUUUUAAUAAAAUAUGUUUCAAAAUAUUUUCAAAAAUGUAAUAGAAGUGAAAUUCUUUUCAAAGUUGGGGAUAUCUAAUUUUUAAAAAAAACUAAAAGUUUUCUUAUAAUUAAUAAAUAUUAUAAUAAAAUUAUAAGUAAAUAUGUAAGGGAUAAGCUUUACAUAUAAAUUAUAUAAAUUGGUUGAUUUUUUAAAAAAGAAAUAAAAUUUUUCUUUUAUUGUUAUAAGUAAUUUAUAUUUUUUAUAUUAAAAAUAAUUUUUUUUUAAUUUGAAUUAAUUAAUUAUUAAAUUAAAAAUGAAAAUAUCAGUAAAAUAAUUUCUUAUUAUAUAUUUUUUAAUUAAAAUUUAAAAAUUUAAAAGUUAAAAUAAAUUUUAAGAAUUCGGCAAAUCAUAUUUUUUGACUGUUUAUUAAAAACAAUGUAUUUAGAACUUUUUAUUAAAUAUAAAUCCUGCUCAAUGAGAAUUAAAUUGCUGUAGUAUUUUGACUAUACAAAGGUAUUGUAAUAAGACUUUAAUUGAGUGCUAAAAGAAUGGACUUUCAAAAAAAUUCUUUUUUAAAUUUAAAAUUUAAAGUUAUUUUUAUUUGUGAAGAAACAAUAAUAAAAUUUAAGGACAAGAAGACCCUAUGAAUUUUUACUAUUUUUCAAUAAAAUUUUAUUGAAAAAUAGUUUAAUUGGGGCGAUUAAAAAAUAUAAUCAACUUUUAAAUUUAAAAAUAAGAUCCAUUAAUAAUGAAUUUUUGAAAUAAAUACUCUAGGGAUAACAGCGUAAUAAUUUUAGAUAGAUCUUAUAGAAAAAAUAGUUUGCGACCUCGAUGUUGGAUUAGGAUUCUUAUUUAAUGAAGAAGUUAAAUUAAGAAGUUUGUUCAACUUUUAAAAUCCUACAUGAUCUGAGUUUAGACCGAUGUGAAUCAGGUUGGUUUCUAUCUUAAUUUUUAAUUUUAAAAUUUUUAAAUAGUACGAAAGGAAUUUUAAAAAAAAAUAUUUUUAGAAAAAAAACUAAACAGUUUUUGCAUCAAUUUUUGGAAUU
rnacentral:rRNA from 1 species